ACGGAAGGCAGCAGUGGGGAAUAUUGCACAAUGGGCGCAAGCCUGAUGCAGCAACGCCGCGUGAGUGAUGAAGGUCUUCGGAUCGUAAAACUCUGUCCUUAAGAACGAAACAAAUGACGGUACUUUUGGAGGAAGCCCCGGCUAACUACGUGCCAGCAGCCGCGGUAAUACGUAGGGGGCGAGCGUUAUCCGGAAUUAUUGGGCGUAAAGAGUACGUAGGUGGUUUGGUAAGCGUGAGGUGAAAGCCCGGGGCUCAACUCCGGUAAGCCUUUCGAACUGCCAGACUUGAGUGCAGGAGGGGAAAGUGGAAUUCCUAGUGUAGCGGUGAAAUGCGUAGAUAUUAGGAGGAACACCGGUGGCGAAGGCGACUUUCUGGACUGUAACUGACACUGAGGUACGAAAGCGUGGGGAGCAAACAGGAUUAGAUACCCUGGUA
rnacentral:rRNA from 1 species